rnacentral:hammerhead_ribozyme from 1 species
AUCGCGUCCGGGGCUGUGCGGCCCCGCUGAUGAGCCCCCAGGCAGGGGCGAAACGCGAG